rnacentral:rRNA from 1 species
AGCUCCAAUAGCGUAUAUUAAAGUUGUUGCAGUUAAAAAGCUCGUAGUUGGAUUUCUGGGAGGGUGCCAAUGUCCGCCGACGUGCGUGCGCAGCGGCGCCCUUCCAUCCUUCUGUUAACGCCUCUUGGCAUUCAUUUGCUGGUGGCGGGCUCAGAUAUUUUACCUCGAGAAAAUUAGAGUGUUUCAGGCAGGCUAGGCCGGAAUACAUUAGCAUGGAAUAAUGGAAUAGGACUACGGUCUCUUUGUUGGUUUGAGGGACUGCAGUAAUGAUUAAUAGGGAUAGUUGGGGGCAUUAGUAUUUAAUUGUCAGAGGUGGAAUUCUCGGAUUUGUUAAAGACUAACUUAUGCGAAAGCAUUUGCCAAGGAUGUUUUCAUUA